rnacentral:rRNA from 1 species
AUGGGCCCUCUUGUGGUAGACCCACAUGUCAUCGGUGUAACUAUUUACACUCCGAAGGACGCUCACACGUACCAUAUCCCCCCGCUCACUGCUCGGCCACACAAGGAGAAGCUUCUUCGCUCACCCGCCAGAAUCCACUUCCCCUCUGGCUCCAGACACAAAUGCGCUGGCCUUCAUGAUUCUAGGACCUGGAAUCAUACCAGCCGAUGGGAUUGGCCGGUGCUGCCGGCUGGCAUCAAGUUCGAUCCCACGAACGAGCACCUUGAGGCCAAAGUGAGUGCUGACAGCGCGAGAUCUCACCCUCUCAUCGAUUUGUUCAUACGAACCAUCGACAGCGAGCAUGGCAUAUACUACACCCAACCUGAGAAACUUCCAGGUAUCACACAGAGUGGCCUAAGGAAGCAUAUCUUCCAACGCAAUUCGAAGGCGUUCAAAAGGGGCACGUGGACGCGUCGCAAGAUACAGUCGGAGUGCGGCAUGCACGCGAUGUGGCACAAGACUAGCAAUACCUUGUCGGUGAUGGUCAACAGCUGGCAGACGGGCAACACAAAGGUUCUAGUGCUGCACACCAACAAGAACUUUGACCAGCAGAGGACCAACCGGGUGAUGCACCAGUACCACCUCGGGGGCCUGGACCAAGAGAAGGAGUGGGAGCUGGUCCUCUGCAAGAUUUUGUACCAGACGAACACUAGGGCCAGGAGUAAAAAGAUUGCCCAGCCAAUGACAACAAUGAGGCACAAAGAUCCAGCAGGUAUCUACUGGCCUCUGACCCGCCAGCGUUAG